GACAUUAUCACCCUCAAACUAGAAAACACCACUCAUUUGAGGCAGAUGCUAAUGCUACAAAAUAUUCAGAACGCCAACAUUAGACAAAGGAGCAUAAAAAUAGUAGAAAGUUGCAACCACUAAAAGUUCCUACUUAAAAACAUAGUUCUCUCAUUGGAAACUCAGAGCCUUUCAUGACUUCACCUAAUUAUACCAAAUUCUUCAUCAUGGACGAAGAUGAACCAAAAGAUGAUGAUUUUGGUAAGCAGAAUUUACUCUUCCAAAAAGUUAGAACUUGGAAUUUUUGCUCAAUAGAUACUUCUUCAGAACAUCCAUGACAGAUCCAAAGUCUGCUUUCACCUGUACCGGGGGAUUAGCAAACCGACACUCCAUGUUCUUUAUUUCUUUAGAAUGAUAAUCAACCUUGGAUUGAGUAAACUUCAACCCAUGAGCUGUACUCACAACCACUGUCCUAUCAGUAGGCGCAAUAACUCCAGCCUUUCUCAGCUUGGAGAGUGCAGUCAAUGCCACACCAGUGUGCGGGCAUAUGAACAUCCCAGUUGAGUCAGCUUGAGCCAUCGCAUCCAUCAACUCUUCCUCGGUAGCCUCCUCCACUAUCCCAUUGGACUUCUUUAGAGCAAAGACAGCCCUAUCAAUAGAUACUGGGUCACCAAUCUGUAUAGCAGAUGCAAAUGUUGUAUUUGCCUUAACAGGUUUGAAAUCUUUCCAACCAGACUUAUAAUGCACGUAAAGUGGAUUUGCAUUGGCUGCUUGAGCACAAACAAGUCUAGG
rnacentral:misc_RNA from 1 species